GAUUAUGGCUCAGGACGAACGCUGGCGGCGUGCCUAACACAUGCAAGUCGAGCGGGGAUGGUAAGGAGCUUGCUUCGGACCAUUCUAGCGGCGGACGGGUGAGUAACGCGUGAGCAAUCUGUCCUGCACAGGGGGAUAACACUUGGAAACAGGUGCUAAUACCGCAUAAGACCACAGCGCCACAUGGCGCAGGGGUCAAAGGAGGAAUCCGGUGCAGGGUGAGCUCGCGUCCCAUUAGAUAGUUGGCGGGGUAACGGCCCACCAAGUCGACGAUGGGUAGCCGACCUGAGAGGGUGAUCGGCCACACUGGGACUGAGACACGGCCCAGACUCCUACGGGAGGCAGCAGUGGGGAAUAUUGGGCAAUGGGCGCAAGCCUUACCCAGCAACGCCGCGUGAGGGAAGAAGGUUUUCGGAUUGUAAACCUCUGUCCUGGGGGACGAAGGAAGUGACGGUACCCCGGGAGGAAGCCCCGGCUAACUACGUGCCAGCAGCCGCGGUAAUACGUAGGGGGCGAGCGUUGUCCGGAAUUAUUGGGCGUAAAGGGCGCGUAGACGGCCGAGUAAGUUAUAGGUGAAAGCCCAUCUUUCAAGGAUGGAAUUGCCUGUAAUACUGCCUGGCUUGAGUGCAGGAGAGGGAAGCGGAAUUCCUAGUGUAGCGGUGAAAUGCGUAGAUAUUAGGAGGAACACCAGUGGCGAAGGCGGCUUUCUGGACUGUAACUGACGUUGAGGCGCGAAAGCGUGGGGAGCAAACAGAAUUAGAUACCCUGGUAGUCCACGCCGUAAAUGAUGGAUGCUAGGUGUGGGAGGUAUCGACCCCUUCCGUGCCGGAGUUAACGCAAUAAGCAUCCCGCCUGGGGAGUACGGCCGCAAGGUUGCAACUCAAAGGAAUUGACGGA
rnacentral:rRNA from 1 species